rnacentral:rRNA from 1 species
AAUCAACGCUGGCGGCGUGCCUCAGACAUGCAAGUCGAACGCGAAAGGUUCCUUCGGGAACCGAGUAGAGUGGCGCACGGGUGAGUAACACGUAGGUAAUUUGCCUUUGGGUGGGGAAUAACAGCCGGAAACGGCUGCUAAUACCGCAUAAUGCAGCGGCUCGACAUCGAGACAGUUGUUAAAGCGGGGGAUCGCAAGACCUCGCGCCUAAAGAGAAGCCUGCGGCAGAUUAGCUAGUUGGUAGGGUAAUGGCCUACCAAGGCGACGAUCUGUAACCGGCCUGAGAGGGCGGUCGGUCACACUGACACUGACAUACGGGUCAGACUCCUACGGGAGGCAGCAGUCGGGAAUUUUGGGCAAUGGGCGAAAGCCUGACCCAGCAACGCCGCGUGAAGGAUGAAAUCCCUCGGGAUGUAAACUUCGCAAGAAUGGGAAGAAUAAGUGU